rnacentral:piRNA from 1 species
UGUGGUUCUGCCUUGUCAAAAAUGCCCCUU